rnacentral:rRNA from 1 species
AUUGAACGCUGGCGGAAUGCUUUACACAUGCAAGUCGAACGGCAGCACGGACUUCGGUCUGGUGGCGAGUGGCGAACGGGUGAGUAAUGUAUCGGAACGUGCCCAGUCGGGGGGGAUAACGUAGUGAAAAUUACGCUAAUACCGCAUCCGAUCUAUGGAUGAAAGCGGGGGAUCGCAAGGCCUCGCGCGAUUGGAGCGGCCGAUAUCAGAUUAGGUAGUUGGUGGGGUAAAGGCCCACCAUGCCAACGAUCUGUAGCUGGUCUGAGAGGACGACCAGCCACACUGGAACUGAGACACGGUCCAGACUCCUACGGGAGGCAGCAGUGGGGAAUUUUGGACAAUGGGCGAAAGCCUGAUCCAGCCAUUCCGCGUGCAGGAUGAAGGCCCUCGGGUUGUAAACUGCUUUUGUACAGAACGAAAAGGUUUCUACUAAUACUAGGAGCUCAUGACGGUACUGUAAGAAUAAGCACCGGCUAACUACGUGCCAGCAGCCGCAGUAA